rnacentral:rRNA from 1 species
CCUACGGGAGGCUGCAGUGAGGAAUAUUGGUCAAUGGACGCAAGUCUGAACCAGCCAUGCCGCGUGCAGGAAGACGGCUCUAUGCGUUGUAAACUUCUUUUGUCCGAGGGUAAAUCCCGGCACGUGUGUCGGACUGAGAGUAUCGUACGAAUAAGGAUCGGCUAACUCCGUGCCAGCAGCCGCGGUAAUACGGAGGAUUCAAGCGUUAUCCGGAUUUAUUGGGGUUAAAGGGUGCGUAGGCGGUUCGAUAAGUUAGAGGUGAAAUCCCGGGGCUCAACUCCGGCACUGCCUUUGAUACUGGCGGUCUAGAGUUGAGUUGCGGUAGGCGGAAUGUACGGUGUAGCGGUGAAAUGCAUAGAGAUCAUACAGAACACCGAGUGCGAAGGCAGCUUACCAAACUACGACUGACGCUGAGGCACGAAAGCGUGGGGAGCAAACAGGAUUAGAUACCCGUGUAGUC